UACGGGGGGGGCAAGCGUUGUUCGGAAUUACUGGGCGUAAAGGGCUCGUAGGUGGCCAACUAAGUCAGACGUGAAAUCCCUCGGCUUAACCGGGGAACUGCGUCUGAUACUGGAUGGCUUGAGUUUGGGAGAGGGACGCGGAGUUCCAGGUGUAGCGGUGAAAUGCGUAGAUAUCUGGAGGAACACCGGUGGCGAAGGCGGCGUCCUGGACCAACACUGACACUGAGGAGCGAAAGCCAGGGGAGCAAACGGG
rnacentral:rRNA from 1 species